rnacentral:rRNA from 1 species
CUGCGGAGGGAUCAUUACUGAGUUUACGCUCUACAACCCUUUGUGAACAUACCUAUAACUGUUGCUUCGGCGGGUAGGGUCUCCGUGACCCUCCCGGCCUCCCGCCCCCGGGCGGGUCGGCGCCCGCCGGAGGAUAACCAAACUCUGAUUUAACGACGUUUCUUCUGAGUGGUACAAGCAAAUAAUCAAAACUUUUAACAACGGAUCUCUUGGUUCUGGCAUCGAUGAAGAACGCAGCGAAAUGCGAUAAGUAAUGUGAAUUGCAGAAUUCAGUGAAUCAUCGAAUCUUUGAACGCACAUUGCGCCCGCCAGCAUUCUGGCGGGCAUGCCUGUUCGAGCGUCAUUUCAACCCUCAAGCUCUGCUUGGUGUUGGGGCCCUACAGCUGAUGUAGGCCCUCAAAGGUAGUGGCGGACCCUCUCGGAGCCUCCUUUGCGUAGUAACUUUACGUCUCGCACUGGGAUCCGGAGGGACUCUUGCCGUAAAACCCCCAAUUUUCCAAAGGUUGACCUCGGAUCAGGUAGGAAUACCCGCUGAACUUAAGCAUAU